GAUGAACGCUUGCGGGAGGCCUAACACAUGCAAGCCGAGCGGUAUUGUUUCUUCUGAAAUGAGAGAGCGGCGGACGGGUGCGGAACACGUGUGCAACCUGUCUUUAUCUGGGGGAUAGCCUUUCGAAAGGAAGAUUAAUACUCCAUAAUAUAUUGAACGGCAUCGUUUAAUAUUGAAAGCUCCGGCUGGAUAGAGAUGGGCACGCGCAAGAUUAGCUAGUUGGUGAGGUAACGGCUCACCAAGGACGAUGAUCUUUAGGGGGCCUGAUAGGGUGAUCCCCCACACUGGUACUGAUACACGGACCACACUCCUACUGGAGGCAGCAGUGAGGAAUAUUGGUCAAUGGGUGCAAGCCUGAACCAGCCAUCCCGCGUGAAGGACGACUGCCCUAUGGGUUGUAAACUUCUUUUGUAUAGGGAUAAACCUACCCUCGUGAGGGUAGCUGAAGGUACUAUACGAAUAAUCACCGGCUAACUCCGUGCCAGCAGCCGCGGUAAUACGGAUGGUGCAAGCGUUAUCCGGAUUUAUUGGGUUUAAAGGGUCCGUACGCGGACUUAUAAGUCAGUGGUGAAAGCCUGUCGCUUAACGAUAGAACUGCCAUUGAUACUGUAAGUCUUGAGUAUAUUUGAGGUAGCUGGAAUAAGUAGUGUAGCGGUGAAAUGCAUAGAUAUUACUUAGAACACCCAUUGCUAAGUCAGGUUACCAAGAUAUAACUGACGCUGAGGGACCAAAGCGUGGGGAGCGAACAGGAUUAGAUACCCUGGUAGUCCACGCCGUAAACGAUGCUAACUCGUUUUUGGGCUUUAGGGUUCAGAGACCAAGCGAAAGUGAUAAGUUAGCCACCUGGGGAGUACGCUCGCAAGAGUGAAACUCAAAGGAAUUGACGGGGGCCCGCACAAGCGGUGGAUUAUGUGGUUUAAUUGCGAUGAUACGCAGAGGACACCUUACCAAGCACUUACAAUGCGGAAUUGUACAGCUCUUGAGAAUGUAGAGCUUUCUUUCUGGACAGAUUUUACAAGGUGCUGCCAUGGGUGUCGUUCCAGGCUCGUGCCGUGGAGAGUGUUAGAGGUUAAGUCCUGCAACGAGCGCAACCCCUGUCACUAGUUGCCAUCAUUCAGUUGGGGACUCUAGUGAGACUGCCUACGCAAGUAGAGAGGAAGGUGGGGAUGACGUCAAAUCAUCACGGCCCUUACGUCUUGGGCCACACCCGUAAUACAAUGGCCGGUACAGAGGGCAGCUACACAGCGAUGUGAUGCAAAUCUCGAAAGCCGGUCUCAGUUCGGAUUGGAGUCUGCAACUCGACUCUAUGAAGCUGGAAUCGCUAGUAAUCGCGCAUCAGCCAUGGCGCGGUGAAUACGUUCCCGGGCCU
rnacentral:rRNA from 1 species